AUGAACGCUGGCGGCGUGCCUAAUACAUGCAAGUCGAACGAACGGACGAGAAGCUUGCUUUUCUGAUGUUAGCGGCGGACGGGUGAGUAACACGUGGAUAACCUACCUAUAAGACUGGGAUAACUUCGGGAAACCGGAGCUAAUACCGGAUAAUAUUUUGAACCGCAUGGUUCAAAAGUGAAAGACGGUCUUGCUGUCACUUAUAGAUGGAUCCGCGCUGCAUUAGCUAGUUGGUAAGGUAACGGCUUACCAAGGCAACGAUGCAUAGCCGACCUGAGAGGGUGAUCGGCCACACUGGAACUGAGACACGGUCCAGACUCCUACGGGAGGCAGCAGUAGGGAAUCUUCCGCAAUGGGCGAAAGCCUGACGGAGCAACGCCGCGUGAGUGAUGAAGGUCUUCGGAUCGUAAAACUCUGUUAUUAGGGAAGAACAUAUGUGUAAGUAACUGUGCACAUCUUGACGGUACCUAAUCAGAAAGCCACGGCUAACUACGUG
rnacentral:rRNA from 1 species